ACCUUUUUUUUUGGCGAGACUGCAGAUUUUCUUCGGCUGACUUGCAGGUAGCACAGAGGCAUUAAAUGAUUUACACGGAGCUACACAUCCAGUACAUGAAAGACUUGGGAUCUGAAAUCAGAGUGCUAAGCAUUCAAUAAGCCUUCACUGAGCAAAAGUGAAUUUGGAGAUCAAGACAAGAGAUGGGAACUAUCCUUGGUGCUGAAUCCUGCUUUUUAAAGGAAAUUUUGUGAAACAGUACAAAAAGUUGGUUUGAUGCUAUUUAUGCUUACUUACCUAUUCCCAAAUGAAGGAUAAUGAUGAGAUGCCCUAGUUACUGAUUUUCUCCUUACUUUAAAAUGUUGAAAA